UACGAGGGGUCCUAGCGUUGUUCGGAAUCACUGGGCGUAAAGCGUAUGUAGGCGGGCUUCUAAGUCAGAUGUGAAAUCCCAUGGCUCAACCAUGGAAUUGCAUUUGAAACUGGAGUCUUGAGUGUGGGAGAGAUUGGUAGAAUACCUAGUGCAGUGGUGAAAUACGUAGAUAUUAGGUGGAAUACCGGAGGCGAAGGCGGCAA
rnacentral:rRNA from 1 species